CUCCGGUUGAUCCCGCGGGACCCGACUGCUAUCAGAGUGGGACUAAGCCAUGCGAGUCAACAUAGCAAUAUGUGGCAUACGGCUCAGUAACACGUAGUCAACAUGCCCAGGGGACGUGGAUAACCUCGGGAAACUGAGGAUAAACCGCGAUAGGUCAUCACUUCUGGAAUGGGUAAUGACUUAAAUCUAUAUGGCCCCUGGAUUGGACUGCGGCCGAUUAGGCUGUUGGUGAGGUAAUGGCCCACCAAACCUGUAACCGGUACGGGCUCUGAGAGGAGGAGCCCGGAGAUGGGCACUGAGACAAGGGCCCAGGCCCUAUGGGGCGCAGCAGGCGCGAAACCUCUGCAAUAGGCGAAAGCUUGACAGGGUUACUCUGAGUGAUUUCCGUUAAGGAGAUCUUUUGGCACCUCUAAAAAUGGUGCAGAAUAAGGGGUGGGCAAGUCUGGUGUCAGCCGCCGCGGUAAUACCAGCACCCCGAGUGGUCGGGACGUUUAUUGGGCCUAAAGCAUCCGUAGCCGGUUCUACAAGUCUUCCGUUAAAUCCACCUGCUUAACAGAUGGGCUGCGGAAGAUACUAUAGAGCUAGGAGGCGGGAGAGGCAAGCGGUACUCGAUGGGUAGGGGUAAAAUCCGUUGAUCCAUUGAAGACCACCAGUGGCGAAGGCGGCUUGCCAGAACGCGCUCGACGGUGAGGGAUGAAAGCUGGGGGAGCAAACCGGAUUAGAUACCCGGGUAGUCCCAGCUGUAAACGAUGCAGACUCGGUGAUGAGUUGGCUUCUUGCCAACUCAGUGCCGCAGGGAAGCCGUUAAGUUUGCCACCUGGGGAGUACGGUCGCAAGACUGAAACUUAAAGGAAUUGGCGGGGGAGCA
rnacentral:rRNA from 1 species